ACGGCCGGGACUGGGCAGCUUGCCCUGACUGCCUGCUCCCAGCCACCUGCGUGCGGACUGGCAGCAGGGCGCGCCAAGGCAGCCAGUGCCUCUCCUCCCUCUUUCCUGUGUUGAACUUGGUCAGUGUCAGUGUGUGCACUUUAACCCCUUCGUCCGCAGGUGUGCUGGGCGUUUGCGGCACUUCCGAGACUUCGUUUCUAUGGAGAUAUUUAAUACUCCCCGCCGCCCCAGGGCCCUUUUGUCUUGAGAACGCUUUUUCGCUUGCCAAGACGCUGCCUAAACCUUGACGAGCGAAUAUCUGCCUAAGCUAGUCAUGGUUUCCUCUUAUGUACAAUAUCGAUGCAAACACCCUUCAGGCGAAAGGACACCAGCCGUGGCAGAUGUUAAAAGACAGUUCCUUUCAAAAUAUCACAGCUCUUAGAGAAUGGAUAUCCACCCCUGCACUUCUGAAAGAACCUUUUCUGUUGUUGUUGUUUAAUUCCUACAGACAGAGGGUCCUAGAAGCGUUAAACCACACAUAUGAAUAUCAGCCCCAAAUCUGCAUAUAAGUAUGUUGUGGGAAAUGAGUGCCACCAAGAUAUUUGUAAAAAUAAGGUAUGGCAUCGAACAUUCUGAAAUUACGGCUGCAAUUCUAAUUACACCUACUUAGCAGUAAGUUUCAUUUAACUCACUGAAAUUUCCAAAUACAUUGUACAGUAGGCGUUAUGUCAGUGCAGGACACAUUCAAGUACUGUCCUGACAAUAAUUGGAGUAACUCUAGUAACUGAAGGGAGAGAGAGUGACUGCAGUCCACAAAACUGGGACAGAACAGAAAGCAAAUAUCUUCUUCAGUCCACAAUGUUGUUUUUUAAUCAUCAUUAUGCCAUUGGAAGAGCAAUAAGAUUUGACAGGAACAUUCUGGACAUAGAACUGAAGUAUUUUGAAAGAAGCAACCCUCUUCAAACAAGAUUAUUAGCAACGCUGCUGUAGAUAUUUGUUGUCCAGCAGUCUAAUCAUCAAUUCAAGCUAUUGGAGGAUUUCAGUAUUUAUUUAUUAUUUAUUUAUCACAUUUUUAUACCGCCCAAAACUCGAGUUCUCUAUAACAUAGGUUAUAGAGGAAGCUACCUUAUAUGAAGUUAAACUAUGGGUUGAUCUAGCUCAGUAUUUUCUAUACUGACGACUACUACUAUGAAUAUUUAUAUACCACUUUUCAACAAAAGUUCUCAAAGCGGUUUGCAGCUGCCAGCAGUUCUCCAGGGUGCUUUCCAGAUUACACCCUAGAGCAGCAGUCAAAUGCUUCAGCUUGGCAGGAUCGUAUUGAAAACAAUCUCCAGAAUUUCAAACUCCUACAGUGGAAAAAUACUGCACAGCUAUUUUUCUGCAACUGACUUGCAACGUUGUAGCCCUGAAGGCAUCAGAAAUGUGAAGGGCACCCUGCUGUCAGUGUGCACAGUGCUGCAAUCAACAGGUGCCCUUAGUCCACAGUCUGUGAAAAAUGUCAAAAAGAAAGAACAGUCCACAAGCGUUGAUGAAACUAUGUGUUAUGCAUUAGCUUUAAAAUAAGUGAGCCAGCUUUUCUUCAUUAGAAGGCAGUGUUGAAUUGUAUUUCGGUCUAAAAUUGCAUUGUUAAUAUAAACUUACUAUAUGCAAACUUUA